GGUGGUUCUCAGGUGAUGCACUCUGGAAUUGGGCUUCCUCCUCUCUGGUUCCAGGUGCCUCACCCUAGAACCGCA
rfam:Myotis lucifugus cont2.60261, whole genome shotgun sequence.